CACGUCUUCACCACAAAAAGGUUAGUUAGUUGUUGGAUUUCUCUGGAUAAAUCAUUUGAGACCAUACAGUACUUUGCACAGUCCGUGUUCUAAUAAAACAACACUAAGUAAUUACAAAUCUUUGGAUUACAACAAUUUUGACCACAGUUUCUCAGUUUCUGCAAUAAACUUAUUUAACAAGUGCAAGUUCAGAAUUUGUGUCUCCGAUGGAAGAGAAACCCCUGAGAGACUGGGACAGUGGUCUCUGCGACUGCUUUGAAGAUGCAAAAACAUGCUGUUAGGGUUUCUGGUGUGGCAUUUGCCUUGCCAGCACAGUUUCAAGACGAUUUGGAGAAGGCAGCUGUCUCCCACUGUGGGACGUAUGUUGUUACGGGUUUUAUGGGUGUAUUCCUCCUGCAGCCGUGUCCAUGAGAGCUGCCAUGCGAUAUAAAUAUAGA